rnacentral:rRNA from 2 species
CCGCGGUCGGGAGUACGGCCUUCGGGGUAAACCGCUUUCAAUUGUGACGAAGCUUUUUUGUGACGGUAGCAGUAGAAGAAGCACCGGCUAACUACGUGCCAGCAGCCGCGGUGAUACGUAGGGUGCGAGCGUUGUCCGGAUUUAUUGGGCGUAAAGAGCUUGUAGGCGGUUUGUCGCGUCGGGAGUGAAAACUUGGGGCUUAACCCUGAGCUUGCUUUCGAUACGGGCUGACUUGAGGGAGGUAGGGGAGAAUGGAAUUCCUGGUGGAGCGGUGGAAUGCGCAGAUAUCAGGAGGAACACCGGUGGCGAAGGCGGUUCUCUGGACCUUUCCUGACGCUGAGAAGCGAAAGCGUGGGGAGCGAACAGGCUUAGAUACCCUGGUAGUCCACGCCGUAAACGGUGGGUACUAGGUGUGGGGGACAUUCCACGUUCUCCGUGCCGUAGCUAACGCAUUAAGUACCCCGCCUGGGGAGUACGGCCGCAGGGCUAAAACUCAAAGGAAUUGACGGGGCCCGCACAAGCGGCGGAGCAUGCGGAUUAAUUCGAUGCCACGCGAAGAACCUACCUGGGUUUGACAUAUGCCGGAAGCGUUCAGAGAUGGGCGUGCAUUUUGGUCGGU